rnacentral:rRNA from 1 species
UACGGGGGGAGCAAGCGUUGUUCGGAUUUACUGGGCGUAAAGGGCGCGUAGGCGGCGCGACAAGUCACUUGUGAAAUCUCCGGGCUUAACUCGGAGCGGCCAAGUGAUACUGUCGUGCUAGAGUGCGGAAGGGGCAACUGGAAUUCUCGGUGUAGCGGUGAAAUGCGUAGAUAUCGAGAGGAACACCUGCGGCGAAGGCGGCGACCUGGACAGUGACUGACACUCAACUGCGAAAGCGUGGGGAGCAAACAGG